rnacentral:rRNA from 1 species
CAGUAGCCACGGUAAUACGAGGGGGGCAAGCGUUGUUCGGAAUUAUUGGGCGUAAAGGGUGCGUAGGCGGUUUGACAAGUCAUCUGUGAAAUCUAUGGGCUCAACCCAUAGUCUGCAGGCGAAACUGUCGGGCUUGAGUAUGGGAGAGGUGAGUGGAAUUUCCGGUGUAGCGGUGAAAUGCGUAGAUAUCGGAAGGAACACCUGUGGCGAAAGCGGCUCACUGGACCAUAACUGACGCUGAGGCACGAAAGCUAGGGGAGCAAACAGGAUUAGAUACCCGGGUAGUCCCUGUCUCUUAUAC